rnacentral:rRNA from 1 species
UACGUAGGGGGCAAGCGUUGUCCGGAAUCAUUGGGCGUAAAGCGCGUGUAGGCGGCUCGGUAAGUCCGCUCUGAAAGCCCGGGGGCUCAACCCCCGGGGAGGCGGGUGGAUACUGCUGAGCUCGAGUCCGGAAGAGGAGAGUGGAAUUCCUGGUGGUAGCGGUGAAAUGCGCAGAUAUCAGGAAGAACACCCGGUGGCGAAAGGCGGCUCUCUGGGACGG